rnacentral:RNase_P_RNA from 1 species
ACAGAUGAUCGCGGCUGUGGUGUAAGAACCACAGGUGAGGAAAGUCCGGGCUUCACAGGGCAGGGUGCCGGAUAACGUCCGGUGGAGGUGACUCCAAGGCUAGUGCAACAGAAAUAUACCGCCAGGCAGGAGGUUUUAUUAAUGUUUUUACAUUGGUAGCUUCCGUUGUUCAACAAUAGCAGCUCGCUGCUAUUGUUAUAGACUUAACACUUUAGUGUUAAGUCUAUUGGUAAGGGUGGAAAGGCAGAGUAAGAGACUACCGCAGUACUGGUAACAGUGCUGGCUAUGUAAACCCCAUCCGAAGCAAGACCAAACAUAAAGCUAUACGGCUGCCCGUCGUGCUUUUAGGUAGGUCGCUUGAGCUUACUGGUAACAGUAAGACUAGAUAGAUGAUCAUCAUCAGCCGUUACUGGCUGAACAUAACCCGGCUUAUAGUGCUGCUCAU